AACGCGGCGGGCGUCAACGUUCCACAAUGGAUACAUUCUCCGGCCAAUCAGCGACCUGCGGGGGGAAGGGCUGCUCCGCCCUUGAACAGCAAGUUUAAGGUGGCACCAAGGGAGAUGUAGCAGGCCAGCGGUAGGGAAAGAUAAGCCUGCUCGGACUGCUUCCUAAAGGGUCCCCCCAACUGGGAGGGGGGCCUUCGCCGUCGCCGCUUCUGCUGCCUAGGGGCUGAGCUGGGACCAGGCUGCCUUUCUUACACCGCUCCCUCCUCAAUCCAGGUUGGAGAGCUGCAGUGAAGUCAGAAAAAAAGCCCUUCUUGGUGACAUCACCCUCUACCAGGAGGAUUGACAGGAUGUGCCAAAUGCAGCCUUGUGAGCUCAACUGCAAGGAGAACCAAAUGGAUGCACAUGAUGGGCUGGGAAGAAGCCAGCCUUUCCUUUCAACAUAAACAGCCUCCCAAAGUGCAAGGAAGAACAAGAGGACUGGUGAAAGACAGGAAUUUAUGCUUGGGACUGUUAUAUUUACAGGCCGGAUUCCAACUUUCUGUAAAAUUUCCUAAUUAAAUGUGGCUAAAUAUGA